UGGACGUUGAAGGGACUGAAUUUGAAUUGAUUCCCAGGUUGUUUAAAACGAGAGCGAUUUGCUUGAUUGACGAACUGUUUCUUGAAUGCCAUUAUAACCGGUGGCAAAAAUGCUGCAAGGUGUAUUUUUAUUAUCAAGUUACGUUCUUUGGGACUUUCGAUUGCAUACGGCGAGUGUUCGAUUAAUUUCAAUUGUUGAUUGUUAUUUUGUUUGAUUUGAUUAUGGAAGUGGAUUAUGCAAUGAUGUAUGAAAUAUAUAUACAAAGAUUCAUGCUUUGAGGCUUGAAAAGAGAUUAUACCUCAAGAAGGAUUGAAUUUGGUGGUGGAGGAGCAAGAAUGAAUUAAUUGUGAGAAGAUGGAAAGUGAAGAGAGUUGGAGGUGAAGAGCCCCCAUGGUGAAAGACCGUAGACUACUUGGAGAAGAAGAAGGAAGGAAGACUUUUUUUUUUCUUUUGGGCAUGCUCUCAUAUCUUUGGAAAUUGUAUUGGGCUCAACAUAUAUCAUUUAAAUUAGUUUGGGUUCAUUUAGUUGAAAGCCCAAGUUGAUAAUUAUUUAA